rnacentral:rRNA from 1 species
UACGUAGGGGGCUAGCGUUGUCCGGAAUCAUUGGGCGUAAAGCGCGUGUAGGCGGUCCGGUAAGUCCGCUGUGAAAGUCGGGGGCUCAACCCUCGGAUGCCGGUGGAUACUGUCGGGCUUGAGUACGGAAGAGGCGAGUGGAAUUCCUGGUGUAGCGGUGAAAUGCGCAGAUAUCAGGAGGAACACCUAUGGCGAAGGCAGCUCGCUGGGACGGUACUGACGCUGAGGCGCGAAAGCGUGGGGAGCAAACAGG